CGGAGGAAGAAGGAAGGAGAGAGAAGAUGGAGGAAGGAAGAAGAAAGAAAGGAAGGAAGAAAAAGAAGGAAAAGAAAAGAGGAAAAAGGAGAUGGAAAAAGGAAAAGGUGGGAGAGGGAGAAUCGGCGAAAAUUGCGGAAUCGGUCGGGGACGCGCGACGGAUUUGACGGGCACGCGGUGAAAUUUGCGGAGGACGGAAAAAGAUGACUGACAAUGUUGGGUGCCGGGACGGCGGGGUCGCCAGGAAGGAAGAGAUUUUCGGGAGCUUAACGGUCGAAAGAUUUUGAAACAAAUUUUUAGCGGAUGAUUUGAGUUAGUAAAUUUUACGGGUGUUACACUUUUUACCAAGGAAAGAAAGAGAUCAAAUCCAACACGUUUCAAAGUUGGAUUCGGACUCUAAAACAACACCAACUUGUGACGGUCACCACGGUCGCAUACAGACUCGGAUUGGGGCGUUCAAGUACUUCAUGGAAUCCUUAUGAAGUCUAUUUUCAUAUGGAUCCAGACUCAUAUCCAUAUCUAUUUUGAGGCGGCCACAAUGAUCAAAUUAUUAUCGAGAGGGUUUUCUAUCUAAGGUGUUGUGCCACCUUAUUUUGGCCCAAUGGGCCGUGUAUCAAGUUGGAUCCAUUAGGGACAUGUCCUAGGGUUGGAGCACGAUCCCAACACCCUUGUGGUUAUCCUCCCACAUUCUUAUACCCCUUAGCCGCCACUAGAAACGCUCAAGUUUUGUUUAGACUAAGUUUAGCUUUUGCUACUUGCUUGUAAGCGCGCGUGCUGAAUCAACCGCCCAUCUUCUUGUCUUCCAAACUAAUGAGGAUAUCAACACCAACGAUACAUCCACACCGGCACAAGUACCAGUUGCUGAUCCUAUUACUCGC
rnacentral:lncRNA from 1 species